rnacentral:rRNA from 1 species
UCGAGAAUUUUUGACAAUGGGGGAAACCCUGAUCGAGCGACGCCGCGUGGAGGAUGAAGGUCUUCGGGUUGUAAACUCCUGUCAUUUGGGAACAAGCGGCUCACGUUAACUGCGUGAGCAUUGAUAGUACCAGAAGAGGAAGAGACGGCUAACUCUGUGCCAGCAGCCGCGGUAAUACAGAGGUCUCAAGCGUUGUUCGGAUUCAUUGGGCGUAAAGGGUGUGUAGGUGGCGCCGUAAGUCAGGUGUGAAAUCUCGGGGCUUAACUCCGAAACUGCAUUUGAUACUGCGGUGCUUGAGGACUGGAGAGGAGACUGGAAUUCAUGGUGUAGCAGUGAAAUGCGUAGAGAUCAUGAGGAAGACCAGUGGCGAAGGCGGGUCUCUGGACAGUUCCUGACACUGAGACACGAAGGCCAGGGGAGCAAACGGGAUUAGAUACCCCCGUAGUCC